rnacentral:rRNA from 1 species
UGAAGACGACGAGGUAGAUAGGUUGGAGGUGGAAGUGCAGCAAUGCAUGGAGCUGACCAAUACUAAUCGGUCGAGGGCUUAUCCUAAAA